rnacentral:lncRNA from 1 species
AUGCCUGCCAGGGCUUGGCCUCCAGCCCUCUCCUUUCCUCCCUCUACACUCUCCCCCAAGAGGACCUUAGUAUCCUCAUAGCUUUAUCGUCUAUAGGCUAUAAAUGCCCAAAAUUGUCAUGCCUUUGCGCUGUCCCUGGCAUGCACAGAUGCUCAUUUGUGACCUCCAUUUGGAUGUCUUACAAGCAUCUUGGACUUCAUACAUGCAAAAUGGACUUGUGAUUCCUCCCUUUCCCUGGUCUUUCUCAUUCCAGUGAAGGGCACCGCCAUCCACUCCACAGCCUGAACCACAAACCUGGAAGUAACGCUUGGUUCUCUCCCUCUCCCUCUCUGACCUCUCUCAACUCCACUCCUAUGGCUACUCCCAAAAUAGACUCCCAAUGCAUUCUCUCCUCCCCAUUUGCACUAUUACCUCCCUAAUCCAAGCCUCCAUCAUCUCUGUUCUAGAUUGUUGCAAUGAUCCUAUAUUUCCAAUACUCCAGAGGUAUCUUCUUUAAACAUAUCACAUCACUUCCUCUCUUGAAACCCAGAUGUGGCUUCCCACUGAAAGUAGAAUGAAACUCAAACUCCUUACUCGUGCACUUACCAGACUCACCUCUGCCCACCUCUCCAAUCCCAUCAAAUCUCUCUCUCUCUCUUUCUCUGGAUCUGUCUCCUACCCCCCUGAAAUUCCCACUGGCUUUCAAGAAAUGAAUGGCAUUACAAGUUCUCUUGUAUCAUUUUUUAUUAGAUUCCAUAUAUGUGAUAUAUCAUGAUAUUUGUCUUUAUCUCACCUACUUCACUCAGUAUGAUCAUCUCUAGGUCCAUCCAUGUUCCUACAAAUGGCAUUAUUUCAUUCUUUUUAUGGCUGAAAAAUAUUCCAUUAUAUAUAAGUACCACAUCUUCUUUAUUCAUUCAUCUGUCAAUGGACAGUUAGGUUGCUUCCAUGUCUUGGCUACUGUGGAUAGUGAUGCAAUGAAUAUUGGGGUGCAUGUAUAUUUUCGAAUUAGAGCUUUCUCUGAAUACAUGCCCAGGAGCAGGAUUGCUGGAUCAUAGGGCAAUUUUAUAUUGAGUUUUUUAAGGAACCGCCAUACUGUUCUCCACAGUGCUUGCAUCAGCUUACAUUCCCACCAACAGUGUAGGAGGAUUCCCUUUCCUCCACACCCUCUCCAGCAUUUAUUGUUUGUAGAUUUUUUUGGUGUGGCAAUUCUGACUGGUGUGAGGUGAAAUCUCAUUGUAGUUUUGAUUUGCAUUUCACUAAUAAUUAUCCAUGUUGAGCAUCUUUUCGUGUGUAGAUAGAAAGUGAAUUGGCGGUUGAUUAAGGUUGGAGGUGGUGGAGGGUAGGGGGAGAUUAGGGACUGAUGGCUAAAGGAUAAACAAUAUCUUUGGGGAGUGACAAAAAUGUUCUAUAAUUGAUUAUGAUAAGGUUUGCACAAUUCUGUGAAUAUACUAAAAGCCACUGAACUGCAUAUUUUCAUUUUUUCUUUUUUUGGGGGGCAGGGUGUGCCUAUAGAAUACAGAAGUUCCUGGAACUGGGAUCGAACCUGCACCACAGCAGUGACAAGCCAGAUCCUUAACCCAAUGAACCACCAAAGAACUCCAAAUUGCAUUUUAUUUUAUUUUUAUUUUUAUGAUUCUUAUUUUUUUCCAUUAAGGCUGGUUUACAGUGUUCUGUCAGUUUUCUACUGUACAGCAAGAUGACCCAGUCUCACAUACAUAUAUACAUUCUUUUUUUCUGACAUUAUCAUGCUCCCUCAUAAGUGACUAGAUAUAGUUCCCAGUGCUGUACAUAUUGUUUUCCAUAGUGGUUGUACCAAUUUACAUUCCCACCAACCACGAAGGAGGGUUCCCCUUUUUUCACACACUUUCCAGCAUUUAUUGUUUAUAGACUUUUUUGAUGAUGGCCAUUCUUAUUGGAGUGAGGUGGUACCUCAGAGUAGUUUUGGUUUGCAUUUCUCUAAUAAUGAGUGAUGUUGAAUAUUUUUUCAUGUGCUUGCAGGCCAUCUGUUUGGAGAAACGUCUGUUCGGGUCUUUUGCCCAUUUUUCCAUUGGGUUUUUUGCCUUUGCAUUGUAUAAAUUGCUUGUAAAUUUUAGAGAUUAAGCCCUUGUCAGUUGCAUAAUUUGAAACUGUUUUGUCCCACUCUGUAAAUUGUCUUUUUGUUUUCUUUUUGGUUUCCUUUGCUGUGCAAAAGCUUGUCAGUUUGAUUAGGUCCCAUUGGUUUAUUUUUGCUUUUAUUUUUGUUACUUUGGGAGACUGACCUGAGAAAACCUUUGUAAGGUUGAUGUCAGAGAAUGUUUUGCCUAUGUUCUCUUCUAGGAAUUUGAUGGUGUUUUUUCUUACGUUUUAAGUCUUUAAGCACUUUUGAGUUUAUUUUUGUGCAUGGUGUCAGAGUGUGUUCCAGUUUCAUUGAUUUACAUGCAGUUGUCCAGUUUUCCCAGCACCAUUUCCUAAAAAGACUGUCUUUUUCCCAUUUUAUAACCUUGCCUCCUUUGUCGAAGAUUAAUUGACCAUAGGUGUCUCGGUUUAUUUCUGGGUUCUCUAUUCUGUUCCAUUGGUCUGUAUGUCUGUUUUGGUACCAGUACCACACUGUCUUGAUUACUAUGGCUUUGUAGUAUUGCCUGAAGUCUGGGAGAGUUAUGCCUCCUGCUUGAUUUUUGUUCCUCAGGAUUGUUUCAGCAAUUCUGGGUCUUUUGUGGUUCCAUAUAAAUUUUCGGAUUGUUUGUUCUAGUUCUGUAAAAAACAUCAUGAGUAAUUUGAUAGGGAUUACACUGAAUAUGUAGAUUGCUUUGGGAAAUAUGGCCAUUUUUACAAUAUUAAUUUUUUCAACUCAGGAGCAUGGAAUAUCUUUCCAUUUCAUUGAAUCAUCUUUACCAAAUUGCACAUUUUAAAGAGAUGAAUUGAAUGAUAUGUGAAUUAUAGCUCGACAAAUUUUCCAAAAGCAAUAAUCCUAUGUUACUUUCCCUAAAUUAUUUCUUCUUUCCAUUUUCAGUGGAGGAUUCAGCUAUGUUAUAUAUUAAAAUCAAUAAAUUAAUACUGUCUUGUUAAGUGCCAUCAUAUAUUUAGACUUUAAUGAUUCAAAAAUCAGUUAACAAAAGUUGAUUAAACUGUUGAUGUUUAUCACUUGAUAAAUUACAUCCCUAAGACUUUUAUUCGUGUGUUCACUUGUAAUCACCUUCAUUGGCCAGCCUCAAGGAUAGAAUUUUGACAUUAGUGAAGGAGCUUGCCAUUUCAAGGCUAGACAUUUUCUGUGCCUUUGGGGUUUUCCCUAGCUGUGCCCUUCAGAAGACAGAGGACCACUUGUUAGAGGCAUUUCACAGCCUCUUCCCAUUGGCUAUACUUUUUUUUUAAGUUUUUUAAUAUUUCAAUUUAUUCCCCACUUGUGGAUAAAAGGUCACAUCAAUUAAAAAUUAUGUUUGACUAUGGUGGUGUUCCAUCACCACAGCAAAUGGUCCUGAUCUUGUCCUUGGUUCUUGUCCCCCUCUCAGCUGUAAUAUUCUCUCUGGUAUGGUCUGAACUUGACCUUGAGACAAUGACAGCCUGAGCCUGUUGUUAGUUUAAUGUCAUGCCAGAGUUGUGACCAACAAUAGUCAUAAUUGUGUCCAAACAGUCUUAAUAUUCAACAAUGUUAAACAAGACUCUCAAGUGUGCAUUGUGCUGGUGUCACUGAAUUUGGUGACAUUGGCUGCUCUUCCUAGCAAGUGUUCUAGCUUGGUUUUUACUUUGAGGUUUUGCUCUUCUAAGUGUAGGAAUAUUUUACAUUUCAGUCUUCUAGAGUCUGUUUUCAAAGUAGAUAAUCAUUUUAAUGUCCUGGUUGCUUCCAUUUUGGCUAAGGAAAGUGAUUGGUUUCCAAAGACUUCAAAGAACGUGUUGGCUUUUUAAAAGAAUGCCAAAGAAUAUACUGCCAUUGUUAUUUGAAGAUUAAAAAAAGAGAAAACCAACCACAAUGUUCCUCAGAGUGGUCAACAGUGUGUAUUUCACUUCCUGAUUAUAGAUUUUAUUAACUUUGAGUAAAAUUAUUAUUAGGCAAUCCGCAUUGAUCCAUGUAGUGCAACAGACACAUAAUUCAUGCCCCAUGUGUUAAAUAUUCCAGAAGAAAGAUGCUUAGGCCAAUGUCAGGGCUUACAGUACUUAUGAAACACAAAUGUGUUAAUUCCCACAGAACCACAAAAACUGGGCUCAUCCAGAAAAUGUCAAUAAUAAGUGGUAUUAAAAAAAGGCCACUGAAUCACUGACUUAAUUUUCCUUUUGUCAUAAAGCCAGCGACGCUAACUCCAGGAAGUAUGUCACUAGCUUUUGUUUUGUUUGUAGUUUACGUAGUCCAUACAAUAGCAGGCUCGGAACAUAUUUUAUUGGGGAAGAAGAAUAAUCUAUUCCUUUCCGCAAAACUCAAACCAAGAUGAAUUCAAAGUUCCCCCGAAUAAUUGCCCUGUCAAUUAUAAACAUGCACUGGAAUUCCAAGCAUGAAUUGCCCAUCUCUUCAAGUAAAUGAUCAGGAACUGGAAAGCACUGGAGAACGGCGGGCGGGGGGUGGGGUGGGGACACUGGAUCAAAAGGUAAGGCUGGACAGCUUUGUGCGCCAUGCAGCAGACAGGUAGUGAGGGCUUACAAAAGAUGAAAAGUGUCAACAGGACAGUGAGUGAUUAAACUCAGAUACAAAUUCCACCAGAACCAGGUGGCUGGGUUUCCACCGCCAAUCACUAACAACAACAACAACAAACAAAUGAUGCACGAAGCAGGAAUGAUGGGUUAGAAACUACUGCUCAUCAAUGCUCCUAACACUCAUGACAGCUGCAGACCCAAGCCAAGGGGAAAGGGCCAAGGGUCAAGGGCCUGGGGGCCUUUAAAACUGUCCUGGAGUGCUGUGCAAAGAGGUUCCCUCCAUGCACCAAAACGAUCCCACCUCACUGUCUUUAAAAAAAAAAUUGGAGUUGGCAUCGUGGCACAGCAGAAACGAAUCUAACCAGGAACAAUGAGGUUGUGGGUUCAAUCCCUGGCCUCACUCAAUGGGUUAAGGAACUGGCAUUGCCAUGAGCUGUGGCGUUGGUCACAGACACGGCUUGGAUCUGAUGUUGCUGUGGCUGUGGUGUAGGCCUGCAGCUCUAGCUCCGACUUGACUCCUGGCCUGAGAACCUCCAUAUGCCACAGGUGCAGCC